rnacentral:rRNA from 1 species
CCUACGGGAGGCAGCAGUGAGGAAUUUUCCGCAAUGGGCGAAAGCCUGACGGAGCAAUACCGCGUGAGGGAUGAAGGAUUUUGGUCUGUAAACCUCUUUUCUCAAGAAAGAAGUUCUGACGGUACUUGAGGAAUAAGCAUCGGCUAACUCCGUGCCAGCAGCCGCGGUAAUACGGGGGAUGCAAGCGUUAUCCGGAAUGAUUGGGCGUAAAGCGCCUGUAGGUUGUUUAUUAAGUCCGUUGUUAAAGCCUAGGGCUCAACCCUAGAAAAGCAAUGGAAACUAGUAGACUAGAGUAUGGCAGGGGUAGAGGGAAUUUCUAGUGUAGCGGUGAAAUGCGUAGAUAUUAGAAAGAACACCGGUGGCGAAAGCGCUCUACUGGACCAUUACUGACACUCAGAGGCGAAAGCUAGGGUAGCAAAAGGGAUUAGAUACCCCCGUAGUCCUAGCCGUAAACGAUGGAUACUAGAUGUUGUGCAUUAUGUACAGUAUCGUAGCUAACGCGUUAAGUAUCCCGCCUGGGGAGUACGCUCGCAAGGGGUGAAACUCAAAAGGAAUUGACGG